UAAUGUCUGGGAAACUGCCUGAUGGAGGGGGAUAACUACUGGAAACGGUAGCUAAUACCGCAUAACGUCGCAAGACCAAAGAGGGGGACCUUCGGGCCUCAUGCCAUCAGAUGUGCCCAGAUGGGAUUAGCUAGUAGGUGGGGUAAUGGCUCACCUAGGCGACGAUCCCUAGCUGGUCUGAGAGGAUGGCCAGCCACACUGGAACUGAGACACGGUCCAG
rnacentral:rRNA from 1 species